UGAGCAGUUUGUCUGAAUCUGCAUGUUCUGCGCACCGCACAUUUCCACUAUCGGCAAGAAUACGGGGAUGUAGAGGGAAACGAGUGGAAGAGGUACACUGGAUACAGACAGUUUGUGCGAUGGUGCUACGAGUACCUGGGAAGACAUGUCAGGGUCCCCAUACCUUCCUGUGUGGUGUGGUGUAUCCGGAGAACUUUUCCCUCCAUUGAUUACAGGGGGUUCCAGGACACCAACAGCCCGUGAUGAUACAUGUAUGCUGUUAACUUGUUAAUUUUGUUUUUUUAGUUUAAAUACAUGAGUUUGUAAAUACAUGAAAAUGAAUGUCAAUACAUGAUACCUCUGGCUUCA